ensembl:lncRNA
GGUACAGUCAGACUAUUUCCUUGCUGGGUCACUCAGGGUCAUGACAACAGAGAUGUCACACUCAGAUGAUUUGGGCAAGGAGAUGUUCAGAAGUAGAACAAUCACUGAGGUGAGGAGAGUUCAGUGAUCAAAGUCUACUGAAGUGUCAGACUGGUUCCAAGGGAAGCUGUUACUGUCCAUAGUCUGGAAAGAGCAGGAGUACAGAAUAUGAUGUUGCUGUAACUGAGAGAUAGCUUGGAACCAGAAAGGUGUGGCUGCUGUGAUCAUAGCAAUGGCCAUUAGACACAAACAGCAGAAUAGCAAAGCAAUUGUAGGGCCAGAAAUGCCCAGUCAUGUCCUCUUUUACUUCUCAUUUUCCUGGUGGACACUCUCAUUAACCAAAAUGAAAAUGAAAGACAAAGAAUAAGGAAGCCUCAGUGAUGCAACCCAUAAAAGGCAAUGUCUUAUUCUGUAUUCUGUGGCUAUAAUAAAAUACCUGAGUCUGGCUGCUUUAUAAAAAAAAAGUUUACUUGGCUCACAGUUCUGGAGGUUUAAAUUCCAUGACUGGGUAACUAUUUGUUCAGCUUUCAUAACUCAUGGCAUCACAAUGGUGGGAGCCUGUGAAGAGGUGAUCAGAUGGUGGGGAGUGGCUAGCCUUGCUCUUUUUAUAAUAACUCGCUCUGGUGAGAACUUGUUCCAUGAGAAAAGCAUUAAUCCUUUCCAAGAGCAACACUCCCAAAUGACCUAAUUACCACUCACCAGGCCACACCUUUUAAAAGUUGCAUUACCCCUACCUGAACACUGUCACAGUGGGAACAAGCUUCUAGAAUGUGAACUUUCAGGAGACCAGCCACAUCUGUACAAUAGAAGAUAGAGUAGACUUAGUAGAUAGCACAGUGGAGAACAGCAGAUUAUGGAGCUGGUGAGUGGCAGUGGAAGCUGACAAUUUCAAUUUGUUCCAAAGCACCCCAUCCUCCUCCUGACAUCUAUUUUUAUCUACUCUGAAUCAUCUCCCUUGAGCAUCACCUGGAGUCUAAAAGGCUCCUUGGAAAUGAAAGGCACAAAAAUGAAUCUUCUUACCUAUCCCUGUGGUGACCUAAGGGUUCUGAGAUUGCUUUUUUCUGACAGAUUUUUGUAAGCAUGAUAAACACAUAUAUGGAGAAGAAGUAGAAAACUUUGAGAGCCAUUGGUGGACCAAUUGGUUUCCAGACAAAUUGUUCAUUGAAAUGACCUAACAGAUCUGUGGAUUGAGAAUUUUUAUGGUGGAAAUAGCCAAGAGAAAAGCAUUUGGAACAACCUCUACCUGCAAAAAUAGUGAACUAAAGGGUUACCUCCUCUACACUUUUUGGCUAUGAGAAGAAGAAUAUUCUCUGUGGCAGUGAAGAGAGCUAAUUGGGGGGAAAAGAAGCAUAUACUGUCAAUGUGCUGGGAACUAAUUGCAGGUAAACUGAGGGAUUGAACUUGGGUCCUUGCGCUUGCGCAGCAGGCGGCGAAAUGAGUGAGCUAAAUCCCCAGCCCAGUUCUAUAAAUUUUUAUUGAAAGCUCAUACUUAUUCCAGGUAAUGUGGACAAAACCCCUUCUCUUAUUGGGUAGUCUAGACUCUCCUGCUAAUCAUGAUUUUAACCAGGAUGAUGAUAACCUGACAUUUAUGUGUUGCUUACUGUGGGUCAGAUGAUAUUUUUUAG